UGCACAGCUUAUUGGGAACAGAUGUAUGGUCUCAUGUGCCAUCAAUGGAGUACCACUUAAGAUGCUGCUUGAUUCAGGGGCCCAAGUGACUAUGGUAUCAAGAGCGUGGAUAGAGAAAAACAUCCCCCACAUUAGGAUCAAGUCACUCGAGUCCCUUCUUUCAGACCAGCCUCUGGAAAUAGCGGCAGCUAAUGGUACAGACGUUCCAUUUGAUGGUUGGGUAGACACGGAACUUCAAAUUCAGAGUGUGAACUAUGGGCAUGUCGCCAUACAAGUGCCAGUGCUUAUCAGUCAGCACAACCUUAACUGUCCUAUUUUAGGCAGCAAUGUAAUAGCUGAAAUCCUAAAAACCAACAAAGAACAGAGAGGUGGGGCUGACCUUUCUGCGCUCCUCAAAGAAGCUUUAAGUGUCAGCAGCAGUGCAGUAGAUGCUCUAGUGUCAGCACUUCAGAUGCCCACCCCUGAUGAAAUAGAUCAUGAGUGUAGUGUGAGAACAGGAAAAAAAGGUGUAAUGAUUCCUGCAGGACAGAUUUGUGAAGUAAAGUGUAGAGUCAGAGAAUGGCCAAGAGGUGGCCCACGACUCUUCCAACCAAAUCUAGAGAACAACUGCCCUGAGGGUUUGGAGUUGUUUCCCGCUUUGGUAGAUGUCCCCAGUGGGUUGACAAAAAUUGUUAAGAUUCCCAUUCAGAAUCCUACCUAACAUGACAUUUUUCUCUCCAAAAGAACUGUCUUAGGUACAUUGGAAGAGGUGACUGAAGUAAAACCUGUCAAGUGUCCCUCUGCUGACUCAGGGUCAUCAGCCCAUACAAAUGUAAAUGUGUGUUCAGUUCAGCUAGGUAAAGAAAAGCACCAGACAGACGUCAAUGAAGGUCAGAGGUGGCAUCCACCUGUUGAUUUGUCCUACCUGACAGAGGAUGAACAAAAGGUAGUUAGAGAUAUGUUGUAUGAACAGUCGGAUGUUUUUGCCCAAAGUGACUCUGACAUUGGCUGCAUCCCAAGCUUGCAGUUGAAAAUUAAUCUGAAAGAUGAUACACCUGUCCAGACAUCCUACAAUUCGGUCCCCAAACCUUUGUAUAAAGAGGUAAAAGAAUAUGUUCAGAAUUUGCUGGACAACGGCUGGAUCAAAAAGUCCACAUCACCCUACUCAUCUCCGGUGGUGUGUGUCCGAAAGAAAGACAAACGCUUACGCUUGUGUAUUGACUUUCGGAGCCUUAACCGUAAAACCAUUGCUGACCGCCACCCACUACCACGCAUCCAAGACCUGCUGGAUAAUUUGGGGGGCUAUUCAUGGUUUUCAAUACUCGACCAGGGUAGUGCGUACCACCAGGGCUUUGUUGAUGAAAGCUCAAGACACCUGACUGCAUUCAGCACGCCUUGGGGGUUGUACGAGUGGAUCCGCCUCCCAUUUGGCCUUACCAACGCCCCAGCAGCAUUUCAGAGAUGCAUGGAGGGGGUCCUUGAUGGUCUGAGGGAUGAGUGCUGCUCACCAUAUUUAGAUGAUGUGCUUUGCUUUUCCAAGACUUUUCAUGACCAUGUUGAUGAUCUGAGGCGUGUGCUUUGCCGCCUGCGAGAGCAUGGCGUGAAGCUACGUCCCAAAAAAUGUGAACUGUUUAAGCGUCAGGUCAGGUAUGUUGGGCGCUUGGUGACCAGUGAAGGUGUCCAGAUAGACCCAAAAGAUCUCGAAGCAGUGGAACAUUUGAGAGACAGAGAGCCAAAGAACGUGGGAGAGGUCAGAGCCCUCCUAGGGUUUCUAGGUUAUUACAGGACGUUCAUUCAGGACUUUUCUAGAAUAGCGAGACCACUGUUUAAGCUUAUUGAGAGUCCCAGUGAUCCUAGCCUGCAAUGCAGCUCAUCUAGAGCCAAAAUCAAGUUAAAGCGCACAAUUGGUGGUCAGCUUCCAUCCAAAACACCAGUGCGAUGGACAGCAGAACAUCGUACUGUGGUGUCACAUCUGGUGGAUAUGUUAACCAGUCCACCUGUCCUGGCUUACCCAGACUUCAAUUUGCCCUUUGUGCUACACACAGAUGCAUCAAAUGAAGGCCUGGGAGCCGUGCUGUAUCAGCAACAGGGGGAAAAGCUCUGUGUCAUUGCUUACGGUUCCAGAACACUCACGCCUGCUGAGAAAAAUUACCAUCUCCACUCCGGCAAGCUUGAAUUCCUUGCCCUGAAGUGGGCAAUUUGUGAUAAAUUUAGGGAUUACCUCUACUAUGCACCCACUUUCACAGUGUACACAGAUAAUAAUCCCCUCACAUACAUCUUGAGCACAGCAAAGUUAAAUGCUGUGGGACAUCGGUGGGUGGGCGAAUUAGCUGACUUCCAUUUCACUGUAAAGUAUAGACCAGGCAAGUCCAACACAGACGCUGACACGCUCUCCCGCUAUCCAUUGCCACUCCAGGAACACCUCAUGGAGUAUACUGAGACACUGUCCCCAGAAGUGGUUUCUGCAAUCUGGCAAGGAGACAAAGCCAUGAGAGACGGUGAUGUACCAUGGGUGGCUGCACUGCACUGUGUUGAUGACACACCCCCUGAAGGUGCCCCUGUCAUCACCCCAGAAAACAUCAGGGCUGCGCAGAGGGAGGACCCCCCUAUCUGUGAGGUGAUAAACUUGAAAAAGAGUAGAUGGAGUCCUAAUAGUAAAGAUAAGCGACAGUUAGGACAAGAGACACGUAGGCUAGUACAUGAAUGGAACAGACUCGUACUCGAGAAAGGAAUACUGUACAGACAGACUGGACAAAGAAAACAGCUGAUUCUACCCAGUAAGCUGAAGCAAACUGUACUGAAACACCUGCAUGAUGAUAUGGGACAUGUUGGUGCUGACAAAGUCAUUCAGUUAGCAAGGGAGAGGUUUUACUGGCCUUUUAUGCAGCGUGAAAUUGAGGACUAUGUUAUUCGCCAGUGCCCUUGUAUCAAACAGAAACAGCCAAGUGUCCCAGAGAGAGCGCCAAUGGGCUCGAUAACAACCAGUGCCCCCUUUGAACUCAUCUCGGUUGACUAUUUACAUCUAGAACCAAGUAAAGGUGGCUACGAGUACAUUUUGGUUUUGGUAGAUCACUUUACCCGUUUUGCCCAAGCUUACCCAACUAAGAAUAAAUCUGGCAAAACAGCAGCUGAGAAAAUCUUUCUUGACUUUAUCCCACGCUUCGGGUACCCUGAAAAGCUGCAUCAUGACCAAGGUCGGGAGUUUGAGAACAACCUCUUCCAAAGACUCAAACAGCUGGCAGGAAUAGGCCACUCUCGAACAACCCCCUACCACCCACAGGGAAAUCCUGUUGAACGUCUAAACAGAACACUUCUACAAAUGCUAUGGACUCUUCAUGAGGAGAAAAAGGCGGAAUGGAAGGACCAUUUGCCCCAUAUAGUCCAUGCAUAUAACUGCACAAGACAUGAGGCAACGGGCUAUUCACCUUUCUUCCUCCUUUAUGGAAGAGCCCCACGCUUGCCUGUUGAUCUGCUUUUUGAUUUAAAACCUGAAAAAGAGUCACAGUCCAGACAGGAGUAUGCACAAAAGUGGGCUGCACGCAUGCAGGAAGCCUAUAAAAUCGCUUCAGAAAACAGUGCAAAGUCCUCUGCAAAAGGGAAGAAGCGUUAUGAUCAGCACAUCAAAGGCAUCGCACUGCAACCAGGAGAUCGAGUGCUUGUCAGAAACCUCUCCGAGCGAGGUGGUCCAGGCAAACUCCGUGCCUACUGGGAAAAGAAAAUUCACAGAGUUGUUGAGAAGAUUGGAGAUGGACCUGUAUAUAGGGUACAAUCAGAAACAGGAGACAAAACCCCCCGUGUCCUGCAUAGAAACCUUUUGCUGCUUGUGACUGAUUUGCCGGUAGAGCAAGAUCGGCAGGGACGUCAGAAAAGACAACCACAAAGACUGGGAGAGACAAACCCCGAUGAAACAGUGGAACAUGAGUCUGAUCAUUCGGAUGAAGAGGAAGGGUACACAUACAGCCUGAGACCUAUACCUGUGUAUCAGUGGAGGAGAGUUAACCCCAAAAGGCCUCAGCUGAGACCACACAGUGAACUGAGAGCUGUAGCUCCUGAGUUUCAGCCAAUGAGACACGAAAUGGAAUCAGUGGAAGUACAGCAGGGAAGUGCAGUCCCACCAUCUGUAUCUCCAGAACCAGCAGAUUUCUCAAUGCCUGUUGUUUCAUUACCAACGGGGGAAACUCAGGAGGAACCUGCAACCGAGGAUUUUAUGGAGGACACAGGGUCGGAGAGCUGUGUGGAUAACGGGGACCCUGCCCCAGAGACACCAGAAUGGGAGGUGCCACCAAUACGGAGGUCGACCAGAGCUGUGAAACCGAGAGAGGUUUUUACAUAUAGCCAAAUGGGACAGCCUUCAUAUCAGCUCUGGAGACCUGGAGCAAACAUGAUGCUUGCAUGCGUUCCCUGCCACAUGCCACUUUACCCAGCUGUUCCUGACUGUUAUUACCCCACACCAGUAUGGACAUGUUAGACUGGUGAUCAAAAGACCUUUUUACAUUACUACUGGAACUGUAACAGUUUUGACUAUUAGACUUUAAAGACUUUGGGCAAACGCCAUGAAGUGUGUUAGUUUGGUUCCAGAUGUCCGGAGCCAUCUCUUGAAGCAGGGGAGAGUGUAGCAGGUUGAAAAAGCUACAUGUUUAUUUUUGUAAGAAAACCAAUUACCCCCUUAUUUUUUGUUUAUUAUUGUGACUUAUUUUGAAAUUGUUAUGUGUUGCCAGACCAUGGUUAUAUUUCAUUAUGCCAGUAGAUGGUGCUCUUGCACUGCUGUGGAACUACCAGAGAGACUCUAGCUAUAGGCUCUGCGCAUGCGCAGCUCAGAAAUAAAUGAGCUCCGGCCUGAGCAAGACGCUAACUUCGGUGUCCUCUCUAUUAAUCCACAGUUUGCUCAUACUUGGCUACGCAGUGCUCUCUAGCCUGUGUGCCGCUUGCUGCCGGUCCAGAUUCCCC